AGUGAACGCUGGCGGUAGGCCUAACACAUGCAAGUCGAACGGCAGCACAGUAAGAGCUUGCUCUUACGGGUGGCGAGUGGCGGACGGGUGAGGAAUACAUCGGAAUCUACUUUUUCGUGGGGGAUAACGUAGGGAAACUUACGCUAAUACCGCAUACGACCUACGGGUGAAAGCAGGGGAUCUUCGGACCUUGCGCGAUUGAAUGAGCCGAUGUCGGAUUAGCUAGUUGGCGGGGUAAAGGCCCACCAAGGCGACGAUCCGUAGCUGGUCUGAGAGGAUGAGCAGCCACACUGGAACUGAGAGACGGUCCAGACUCCUACGGGAGGCAGCAGUGGGGAAUAUUGGACAAUGGGCGCAAGCCUGAUCCAGCCAUACCGCGUGGGUGAAGAAGGCCUUCGGGUUCUAAAGCCCUUUUGUUGGGAAAGAAAAGCAGCAAGUGAAUACCCCGCUGUUCUGACGGUACCCAAAGAAUAAGCACCGGCUAGCUUAGUG
rnacentral:rRNA from 1 species